rnacentral:piRNA from 1 species
UAGUCUAGUUGUACUUAGUGUAGCGUUGG